AAACCCACAAAAGCCUAAACAUGCAUAUCUACCCAUACUCAAACAUUAAAACCUUCAUAAAACUUCAUAAAAACACUAGGGAAGCAAAGAUCUACACUUACCUCUUGAAGAUUGAGGGUGGUGUGAUCUCUAACUCGGAGGUGUGGAGAAUCCAAGCUCCAAAAGCUCCAAGCUCCCAAAACUUGAUCCAAGCUUUAAAACUCUUCAAAA
rnacentral:lncRNA from 1 species